AUACCCAAGGAGUAGAACCAGAAGUAGUAAUAUU
rnacentral:sRNA from 1 species